rnacentral:rRNA from 1 species
GACGAACGCUGGCGGCGUGCCUAAUACAUGCAAGUUGAGCGCUGAAGGUUGGUACUUGUACCAACUGGAUGAGCAGCGAACGGGUGAGUAACGCGUGGGGAAUCUGCCUUUGAGCGGGGGACAACAUUUGGAAACGAAUGCUAAUACCGCAUAAAAACUUUAAACACAAGUUUUAAGUUUGAAAGAUGCAAUUGCAUCACUCAAAGAUGAUCCCGCGUUGUAUUAGCUAGUUGGUGAGGUAAAGGCUCACCAAGGCGAUGAUACAUAGCCGACCUGAGAGGGUGAUCGGCCACAUUGGAACUGAGACACGGCCCAAACUCCUACGGGAGGCAGCAGUAGGGAAUCUUCGGCAAUGGACGAAAGUCUGACCGAGCAACGCCGCGUGAGUGAAGAAGGUUUCGGAUCGUAAAACUCUGUUGGUAGAGAAGAACGUUGGUGAGAGUGGAAAGCUCAUCAAGUGACGGUAACUACCCAGAAAGGGACGGCUAACUACGUG